CGUCUCGUCUGGUCGAGUUGUCGCGCCGGCCGCGACAAGUGGCACCCGAACAGGGACCUGAGCACAUGCAAGUGAAAGUGCGUGUCUAGGAUGAGGAUACCCCGUGCUGGCUUCCAGAAAGGUGGUGCGGAAUCCUCGUGUCUCCAACAGAGGAUGGACGGCCAGAACAGACAGAGAAGAAAAAGAUGUCUCCCCCCUUACAGUCAGAGAUCUCCUGAAUCGGGCCCUAGACAUAGUGAAUCAGACCCAACCCAAUGAAGCAUUGAUCACUAUAUUAUUAACAUUAUUAGAUAUGGUUGGCCUCCCCCAUAGCAAGGCCACAGCCUAUUGGGCAUAAUUGCCUGAUCCACCCACUAUAAGGCCUCUUACUUGGGAUGAUCCAAGCCCCGGAGUACACAUUAAUGCUACAGAAUAUUUUGGGGGAAGCAGCUCAUGGCAUGGAAAGUGCAGAAUGUUAUAUUAAUUGGACUAGUUUAGCAGCUCAGGUACCUGUAUGUUUCCAGUUACCUUCCCCUGGCCAUGACCUUAUCAAUGGAUGCAUGGUGGUCCAAUCAAGACCCCCAUAUAGUUAGGAUAUGCAAGAAGUGGAGUUGCUUGAUCUAAUUCUGAGAUACGGCUUAAAAGAUGGACUGUCUAUGAGAUCACUAGUGACAAGACUCCUAAGGCUCCCCAAAGAGGCAUGUGUCCUCCUGGGUACCCUAUUUGUCCCCCCAAAUUAGACUAGACUAUUGCAGGUCCCAUUUGGACAGAAGGCCUCCAGGAGAAGCCGUUGAUCAUCUUUGCUCACGACAUCCCUGAUUUCUCUGUCACCGACUGGUCAAGAGUGGCUA